CGGCAUAGCUGAAAAACUAGACGAACAACAACAACAAAACAUCCACAAGUUAACAUAUUUCUCGUUGAAUUGUCACUGUCUAAUGUAAAAUUCUGGUAUAUUGUAUGUACAAGUGAUGAAAUCAACAACAAAAUUGACUUGACAUUCUAUAAUUAAAACGCCGUCUCAACAUUUGCAUUCAAUGUACACAGUAUGCGGAUGGUAAAAUAGUUCGGAUAAACGAUCGAAUUCCAUAGAUUUUUUGUGUGUAUGCUGUAAAGAGUGUAGUUUAUACAUGAAUUAAAACUGUCUAGUAUGUGAUCGUUUUUAUAUUCAUAAAAUGCAUCCUUAAUGCAACAUUUAUACAGUAUUUUUGGAGUCGAGUCCAAGUAAAGCAUCCAUACAAUAUUUUCCCAGAGUUAGCAUAGAUUAACAUCCUGAAACCAUACCUACAUCUACAUCAACAUUAAGGAUAAUGUCUGAUUUGCAAUUCACCGUUUUCUUUCUGCAUACAACAUACACUGUCUGUAUAUAAGUUAUAACAAUUUUUUUUAUUGGUUACGUGCAAAUAUGCCCUAUAUAUAUACUAUAGUCUAAAAUAUUAGACGUUUUAUACGGGAUUCUUCCAAUCCCUAACGUCUAAACGGGAAUGUGCAAAAAACGGGGGUGUUUUAAAAAUAUUGAAAUUGUUUUAAGUGAAGUAUUUUAUGGUUGAAAUUGACCAUAAAGAGUUAUAUUCAUAUUUUACCAUGUAAGUGAAAUGCUAUUUUGCACUAAACAAGCAUUUAAUGCAUUAAAACAAGUUGUUUACCUUUCCAAUAAAACGAAAGUUGACUGACACAGAAAACAAUUAUGUGAAGGGGAACAACUCGAUACACUCGUAAUAACUCGGCCUCCUCUGACAAAGCUUCGAGAUAGACCUCGUUAUACAAUCGUAAUAACUCGGCCAUGGCCGAAAUGUUCCGAGCGAUUUAAAACUGUGCCCUGAAGCCUUGCAGGUGCCCUUCAUGUAUAUAUCGUUAUGUUUUGACAGAAUGAAAUGAAGAAAAGCCGUCAAACUCAUAAUUAUAAGUUGGAUAUUUAUUUUUUGUGUACGGAGCUAAUAUAAAAUAAAAUUAUCUGGUAAUAUUUCUUGUUUUAUGAUAUUUUAUAGACGCCAUAUGCUUUAACCCGGAAUCCUGAUCGGAACAACUACCCACUUUUGAUACUAAACAAUUUGUACGUGAAGGAUUUGCCAUAUCAAAAAUCUAAAAAAAAUCCGUCAACGUACAAUUAUUUGGACUAAUAUAUACUAUUCCUUGUAAACUGGUAAUCAUGAAUGUUAAUACAAAUGAAGAAUUAGGAUAUGAAUCCUUCUGAUGAUGGUAACAUUUGUAAAGGUAAAGGUAAACUUUAUUUAACGUCGCAUAUAAUCAACAAAAAAAAGUUAGUGAGUUAAAGCUUUCGUGAGACGAUACCUACAUGUACCUGCGUAACCUAAGUUACUUUUACCCCAAGCAUUUACCCGGUACCCAUUUAGAGUUGGGUGGACUGAAGCCAAUUGGAUUCAGGAAUUUCUAAGCCACUGUUUACUUUGAUGAGUGUUUAUGUGUAGUGCAGAUCAAGAUCACAGGAAAUUAGCUGAGAUUGUGGUCUAGAUGAUAUAAAUUUAAGCCUUUUUAAGACCAAAUACUGACAGAAACAAUUCUUCAACACCAGACCCGCUAAAGUUGGGCAGAAGAAAUGUUUUUAUAGUAUACUCGUAAUUCAAAAUUCUAACAUAUAAACAUUGCAUUUGCUUCUACUUUCUAGCAACCAUUAAAGCCAUUUCUGCGGGAACGUGGUACAGUCCAAGAUGGAAUGGACAGAAUGGAUGAUUGCAGAUAAGGUAAAUUUUUACUUCAUACCUGUUUCUAUUUUGUUUGUUUUACAUUACCGUAUGCUCACCGAAAACUCUUAUAAAUGGAGUUUUUUUUUGCUUCAUUAUUAAAUCCCUGCAAGGCUUUUAUGCAAGCUGGGUUUAAAGAUUUGGGUUUUUAAAAUGAAUAAACAGUUAAGUUGAGCACCCGGCAUAAUAAAUUACGCCUAAAAUACAACAUUUCGGACUAAAUAUAGUUAAAAAUUUCCCAAAAUCCCUGCCCCCGAUUUUAAAAGCUCCCUCUAGUGGCUAUAGUUGAAAAUUGAAAAUUAGCCAGGAGCACAGCUGCCUAUGUGGCUCAUGAACACAGUUAUCUGCACCCCCCCCCCCCCCCCCCAGGACCAAGAUCUGGAUGUUCUUAUAUAUUUUUGACAUUUAGAAAAUACAACUUUAACUUUCAAAUGAAUGUUUGAAAAUCGUUCCAAAGGCUUGUACCUUUAAUGAAAGAAAGCCUCACUUUCCAGUCCAAAGUAGAAAUGGAGGGAUUUUUAAAAAAUCAACAACAUUAAUUUGAUCAAUGAAAAAGCACGGCCAAACGCCAACAGGCUAACCCAUCAUUUGAAACUGGUAUGCCAAAGAUGUGUCUGUUGUAUAGGCUAUUUAUAAGGGCUUCAAUGAUUGUAUGUUUGGGUAAGGGUUGUGCAUUUAUUAUUUAUCCUUUCUUAUUAUUUUAAACAUGAUGGAAAUGAUGAAGAACCAACCAGCCAGCUGGUCCACUGUACACCCUAGCUGAACUUGGUGUACGCCAACAUGCCAACAUGUGGUAAUUUAUUUUCUCUUUUAAGCGAACUCUCCCCUCCUGCCAAGCAAAAUUAUGGUGGAGUGUGAGAUUGUGAUUGAAAGAUGAAUGGGCGGUUGCGGGCCGAUGGUGUUGCUGUGGACCAUAGAUUGUGUGAAAUAUUGUAACUAGUCUGUCCAGGGUGUGGGAGAGGUUACCCAUCCUGCCAAAAACCACCAUGGCUGAGUGAGAGUUGCGACUAAAACCAGGGAUGGGGAGGACUGUUACCUUUCCAUGAAAUAAUAUGGCUUGCAAGCCUGGUUGUUGAAGCCACAGAGGUAUUCUUAAGGACAAGAACCAGCGAUGGUCAAAACGUGGUCUUGUAUGGAAUUCCAUACCGGUUCUCGGCAAGGAUUUCCGAGAAAGGAAUACCAUAUCCAAAUUAUGAUGUGCCAAUAAGCUGCAGUUAGUUGCGGCUUUCCCCUCCGGCAGAAGUCCUGCAAUCUGAGUCCAGGAGAUGCAGCUCUGAAUCCAACAUUUCAGAAGAAUGAAAAUAUCGGGAUCCAUCACUUCAGUACCAUAUUCACCAGUAACGUUUUAUCCAGGAUACCAGAGUGGCAUCUAGGAUUGAUCACUAACACUUCAGUACCGUUUUCAACUGUAACGUUUUCUCCCGGAUACCAGAGUGGCAUCUGGGAAUGAUCACUUA